rnacentral:rRNA from 1 species
AGCCCUUGACAUCCCGGUCGCGGACUCCAGAGACGGAGUUCUUCAGUUCGGCUGGACCGGAGACAGGUGCUGCAUGGCUGUCGUCAGCUCGUGUCGUGAGAUGUUGGGUUAAGUCCCGCAACGAGCGCAACCCCGUCCUUAGUUGCUACCAUUUAGUUGAGCACUCUAAGGAGACUGCCGGUGAUAAGCCGCGAGGAAGGUGGGGAUGACGUCAAGUCCUCAUGGCCCUUACGGGCG